rnacentral:rRNA from 1 species
AUUGAACGCUGGCAGCAUGCCUUACACAUGCAAGUCGAACGGCAGCACGGGAGCAAUCCUGGUGGCGAGUGGCGAACGGGUGAGUAAUAUAUCGGAACGUGCCCAGUCGUGGGGGAUAACGUAGCGAAAGCUACGCUAAUACCGCAUACGAUCUAUGGAUGAAAGCGGGGGAUCGCAAGACCUCGCGCGAUUGGAGCGGCCGAUAUCAGAUUAGGUAGUUGGUGAGGUAAAGGCUCACCAAGCCGACGAUCUCUAGCUGGUCUGAGAGGACGACCAGCCAAACGGGGGCUGAGACACGGCCCAGACUCCUACGGGAGGCAGCAGUGGGGAAUUUUGGACAAUGGGCGCAAGCCUGAUCCAGCAAUGCCGCGUGCAGGAUGAAGGCCUUCGGGUUGUAAACUGCUUUUGUACGGAACGAAACGGCGAGCUCUAAUACAGUUUGCUAAUGACGGUACCGUAAGAAUAAGCACCGGCUAACUACGUGCCAGCCGCCGCGGUAA